AACGAACGCUGGCGGCAGGCUUAACACAUGCAAGUCGAACGCAUCCUUCGGGGUGAGUGGCAGAGGGGUGAGUAACGCGUGGGAACGUGCCCUUCAGUUCGGGAUAACCCAGGGAAACUUGGGCUAAUACCGGAUACGUGCGAGAGCAGAAAGAUUUAUCGCUGAAGGAUCGGCCCGCGUCUGAUUAGCUAGUUGGUGGGGUAAUGGCCCACCAAGGCGACGAUCAGUAGCUGGUCUGAGAGGAUGAUCAGCCACAUUGGGACUGAGACACGGCCCAAACUCCUACGGGAGGCAGCAGUGGGGAAUAUUGGACAAUGGGCGCAAGCCUGAUCCAGCCAUGCCGCGUGAGUGAUGAAGGCCUUAGGGUUGUAAAGCUCUUUCGUCCGGGACGAUAAUGACGGUACCGGAAGAAGAAGCCCCGGCUAACUCCGUGCCAGCCGCCGCUGUAA
rnacentral:rRNA from 1 species